CCUACGGGAGGCAGCAGUGAGGAAUAUUGGUCAAUGGACGAGAGUCUGAACCAGCCAAGUAGCGUGAAGGAUGACUGCCCUAUGGGUUGUAAACUUCUUUUAUAUGGGAAUAAAACGUUCCACGUGUGGGAUUUUGUAUGUACCAUAUGAAUAAGGAUCGGCUAACUCCGUGCCAGCAGCCGCGGUAAUACGGAGGAUCCGAGCGUUAUCCGGAUUUAUUGGGUUUAAAGGGAGCGUAGGUGGAUUGUUAAGUCAGUUGUGAAAGUUUGCGGCUCAACAGUAAAAUUGCAGUUGAAACUGGCAGUCUUGAGUACAGUAGAGGUGGGCGGAAUUCGUGGUGUAGCGGUGAAAUGCUUAGAUAUCACGAAGAACUCCGAUUGCGAAGGCAGUUCACUGGACUGCAACUGACACUGAGGCUCGAAAGUGUGGGUAUCAAACAGGAUUAGAUACCCCUGUAGUC
rnacentral:rRNA from 1 species